GAUGAACGCUGGCGGCGUGCUUAACACAUGCAAGUCGAACGGAAGUUUUAAAAGGAAGUUUUCGGAUGGAAAUUUAAAACUUUAGUGGCGGACGGGUGAGUAACGCGUGGGUAACCUGCCGUAUACAGGGGGAUAACACUUAGAAAUAGGUGCUAAUACCGCAUAAGCGCACAGCAUCGCAUGAUGCAGGGUGAAAAGCUGAGACGGUAAACGAGGGACCCGCGUCUGAUUAGCUAGUUGGUGAGGUAGAGGCUCACCAAGGCGACGAUCAGUAGCCGGCCUGAGAGGGUGACCGGCCACAUUGGGACUGAGACACGGCCCAAACUCCUACGGGAGGCAGCAGUGGGGAAUAUUGCACAAUGGGGGAAACCCUGAUGCAGCGACGCCGCGUGAGUGAAGAAGUAUUUCGGUAUGUAAAGCUCUAUCAGCAGGGAAGAAAAUGACGGUACCUGACUAAGAAGCCCCGGCUAACUACGUGCCAGCCGCCGCGGUAAGAC
rnacentral:rRNA from 1 species